rnacentral:rRNA from 1 species
GUCUUUUUGAUUAUAAUAAAAAGUCUAACCUGCCCACUGAUUUAUUGAAUGGCCGCAGUAUUUUGACUGUGCAAAGGUAGCAUAAUCAUUAGUUUCUUAAUUAGAAGCUGGAAUGAAAGGUUGAACGAGAAAAUAACUGUCUCUUUAUAAAUUAUUUAGAAAUUUAUUUUUAAGUUAAAAAGCUUAAAUGUAAUUAGAAGACGAGAAGACCCUUUAGAGUUUUAUAUAAAAUUUAUAAUUAAAAUUUUAAUUUGAAUUAUCAAUAUUUUUAAUUUAUUUUAUAUUUUAUUGGGGUGAUAGAAAAAUUUAAUUAACUUUUUUUUUUUAUUAACAUUUAUUUAUGGUAGUUUUGAUCCAUAGUUUAAAUUAUGAUUAAAAGAUUAAAUUACCUAAGGGAUAACAGCGUAAUUUUUUUUGAGAGUUCUAAUCGAUAAGAAAGUUUGCGACCUCGAUGUUGGAUUAAAAUUAAAUUUUGGUGUAGAAGCUAAAUGUUUUAGGUCUGUUCGACCUUUAAAAUUUUACA